CGUAAGCCCUAAACUCCAACAUCUCCAACCGUCAUGAAACCUGAACACAACCUCCUUGACUUAAACUGUUGGAUGCCAAGAUGCCUGCCUGACCUUAAACGACACAUUCCAUUCUCAAUUCAACAUCAACCUUAUGUAAGUUCACAGGUUUUUUUGAAUGGCAGCAGCCUGCAGAAUGUGUAGGAGUGUGUUGUGAAUAGAUUACAUAAAGCUUAUUCUUAAACUCACCGACACAACCUGUCCUACUUGUUGUGAGUGGGAGAGACACUUCUGCUGGUGCAAGCUGUGUGUGUGUGUUUUUAAGGGUGUGCUAGAAUGUGUGUGUGUGUCUGUGUGUGUGCCUGUGCAUGCAUGGGAGUGUGUGUGAGAGAGAGUGUGGGAAGUGGAUGUGCAGGUUGUGUGGGCUGGUGAAGGGCAUGACGAGACACUGGAGCUGUGGGACGGUUAAAGCAUGCACAUUCAGAAGCUUCACUCAGCAAACAUGCAAAACCAUGACAAUAGCAGCCAAUGUGUCCUCCAGAGGCCGUCUUAAUCCACCUGUCCUGAAUUACAAUCAGGAUGAGCUCCUGGAGUUCGUCCCUUCAGAGCCGCUCAGCCGUGCGUCAGUGCUGGGCUGCUCUCAGAGUGGGAGCUUCCAGCCCACAGCAGCUUGUUAAAAUGUCAACGCUGGGGCACAGGACUAUUCCUGGAGCCCAGAGCUACUGCAGGCCCUUUUGCACCAGCUUACAUCAGAAUCUGCACUCUGCAACAAAUCAACUGUGUGGAUAGAACGUUCAUCUGCAGAGUUCUCUCUGAAGCUCUGGGAAAUGGUGCUCCACUUAAUGCCCUGCUUGUAGCCAUAACCAGAGCUAACAAAAUAUGUCUUAUCUGUGCAGAAGAAUCUAGUUUUAUCAGAAUUGAAACAUCUACAAUUACAGGUUACCACCUGCUAAGUAUCAUUUGGCCUCAGAACUGGCUUUAAAAUGCAUGAAGCAAAAAAAGGAAUAGAUUAGAUUAGGAUUGAUCCAAAAACAACUGAUACAUAAUAAAUAACAAUAAAUAUACACUUAAAAUAUUAAUUCCAAUCAUUUUUAUCCAGUCCUAGUGGGCUGUUGUAGAGCCGACAGGAAGAAAAACCUAAAAACAAACCCUGUGGAACACCUGAGAUGAAGACAUGAUCACUUCUCAGAUGAAUGUGUCACAAGUAGAAUCUAACAAGAACAACACUUAGUUGGGUUUAUUUAUGACAAUGUGUGUGUGUGUUUUUUAACUAUCCAGACUUCUUAUUGUGUUGAUCAUUUCAAGCUGUGUUCCCUCUAAGUGGCUGAGAAGUAAAGUGACAUGAGCUGCUUUAGUGCAUCUACUCAAGAAACGUAAAAAGAAAGCCACGAUGACAGCAAAAUGACUAAAUUCAGAACUACAGAACAGUGCUAUACAAUUAGUUUGAACAUACAGUAUGGGUGCAAUACGUUGUUUAAAAUUUUAUCAAAAUAUGAGUUUAAAAAAGAUGUGUACUGAUGUUUCCGUUUCUGGUUACUUUAAUAAAGAAACAAACAAAAAAAUCAAUCAUAAUGAUGCCUUAAAAAAAUUAGAUCUCAAAACUUUGUCUUCUGCUUGCAAUAUGGUGGCACAAAAAUCACUCCAUAGAACUCCAGCAAACUGUUUGCUUCUAAACAAAUAUCUAUAGCAAGACAAAUGCUGAUGUUAUUGACUGCUGCUGGGAUUCACAGCAACUUUUGUAUGUCCUCAAGGCUAUGAUGGGAUUCCUUUGAAAUGAUAUGAAUUCUAACCUCACAGCAAACAAGCAGCGCAGGAGAACCACAGGACAAACAUGGUUUCAGUUUGCAGCCUCUUCUCUGCGCUUUUUAUUCAUGAAACCCCAGGAAGCCUGCUGGAGGUCUGUGUGUGAGCACUGCAGUUUAUUCUUGACACAACGGGGGCGGGUGACUGAAUGACUACAGUCCUCAACACCCAUUACAUGCACACUCACACUAGAGCUGGCUGGACAGUCAUAAACACACACAGCUAACGUCUGUAACUUCACAUCUACAGAGCAGCAGGUAGUAGGAGGCGUGUGUGUGCGUGUGUGCGCGUGUGUGACCACCAUGACUAAGGACUUACAGAAUUAAGGAUCCUGAACCUCCAGGAACAGAGAUGAUCCACGCAGGAAGAUGGAAGAAAAAGACACUUGUUUCUCAAGAAGCAUUCUUCUGACUGUUGUCAUUGUUCCGUCCCAGAUAGGUGUCACACAGUCAUACUGCACGCUGUGCAACAGCGAGCUGCACACCUGCACAUGACAGCUGCUCCUAUUCCACUUCCUGCUGAAGUUUUGCAUCUCUACGUUUAGGCAUGCUCUGCAUUUGGACAGCAAACGAAAGCAGAAUGUCCCUGCAGAAAUAAGACCCCGCGCACAAAUGAGCGGGUCUCGUGGACUGGGGGUCAUGACACCGUCUUCAAGGAAACCCAGAGUGUGUUUACUAUUAACAAGUUGAAUUUGCUGAAAGUGGAGGGACUGGUUCAACACGGUAGGGGGUGUGGGGAGGGAAAAAAAGAGCAAGAGUAUAUAAGGAAGAAGAGUAGAUGAGAGGAUGCAGAGAGCCAUUACAGAGGGGCGCAGGUUCUCCCCCUCGAGGGAUACAACAUGGAUGUGAGUUUUGAGGAAAGGAACUGAUGACCACGAGAAGAAAACACAGCUCUUAAUUUAGAGAACUAGAAUGGGAAGUCAGAUGAAGAGCUUAAGUGAGUUUCAGCCGGGCCAGGACCAGAACUUGGACCAAACUGCCUUAGAAAUGGGGAGUCAUGCUUUGAUGAUUUUCUUCUUUAGCAUUAGGGAGAGCAACAGCUGUCACUUCCAGCUCACAUCUGUUCAUAUACAGCUGCAGCUGAGUCGCAUGCAUUUUCAACAGCCAUUCCAGACUAGUGGUGGGGGAAAGAAUCGAUUUUCAGAUCCAUCAAAUAUGAUCCAUGAAUGAUUCUGAUUUUGUAAUGAAUUUUAAAUAAUCCAUAAUCAAAAAUGUAAAUGAUUUAAAGUAAAAAUAGCAAGCGGAACUAAAUGUGAUGGGUUUUCCACUCUGGCAUUUUUGAAGAGCACAUAAACAUGGCUGACCUUCCAGAUCUUUGCUUAAAGCGACCAUUUGGAUAGAGUAAAAUGUAACAUUAUCUUAUUUAGGGUUGUUGAGUUCAGGGACAAUUUCCUCUGGUUUUGUUGUCAGAAAUGUUAUGUUCUCAAUAAAAGUUAAACAAGUUUAAUGAUCUUGCCUUUAUUUAAAAAUGCACUUUGGUGGAGAAAGUAAGUAAUAUUGGUCUAGGUGCAGUGUUCCUCACUCCAGGUCCUCGAGAGCCGCCACCCUGCCUGCUUUCCAGAUCUCCAGAGCUGGAAAACAGGCAGGGUGGCGGCUCUCGAGGACCUGGAAUGAGUAACACUGGUCUAGUGUCUUGUAGUAGAGAGAAACAUUUCUAAAAAAAAAAAAAAA